GGGGCGGGGCUUGUGACAGGACAACCAAGUCGGGUCGACCAAAAAUCGUCUCGAACCUUUCUACGUUGUCCACUCGUCAGUUUCUUUGUUCGGUGGCACGGCUCUUUUAAGUGAGUGGAGGAUGGCGGCUGAGUUACAGCGCCUCCUGGCGGCGAUUUCCUGUCUGCUCCUGUGGCACGCAGCAAGCGUCCUGUCCAUGCCGGACCCCAAGAGGAGGGAGGCGCUCAUCGAGCUGGAGGCCUCCCUGCAGACGGGGGGUCAGAUGGUGCUGACCGACUUGGAGAAGCUUCUGGAUGGUCGGCUGCACCAAAUGAAACAGGACGAGAUGGCCAAAGCGAACUUCCCUCCCGCCAUGCACUUCUUCAAGGCCAAACCCUUGAUUGAGCGCAGCCCCAUCUUUCACCUGCUGCGGAAAAUGCCCAAAGGUCCUCAACGAGCAGCCUUGCACGUCCACGACCUCGCCAUGGGCGACCCCGAGUGGCUCGCGAAGAAUGCGACGUAUCGGCCCAACUGCUACGUGUGCGUCACCGACGAGCGCGCGGUCAACUUCAUCUUCUCAUCCGGCCAGCCGAAGAGUGUACCGAAAUGCUCCCCCUGGAUGCUGAUGGAAACGCUCAGGAACAAAUCGGCCAACGUCACCGAUCUGGACAACAGCAUCCUGGCCAACUUGACGCUCUUCACUGACGGCGAUCUUGAGACCUUGUAUCCUGACCAGGGUGCGGUUUGGGAAAGGUUCGAGCUGAACUUCGUGGCUGCGAUGGGUCUGAUCGCAUACGCGCCAGUGUUCAGAGACUAUUACUACCACGGCCUCGGCCAAUUCUACAAGGAUAACGUCAUGUAUGUGGAAAUACGCGCCUUACUUUUGCAGGUUUACGAGCUGGACGGCAGCACUCACGACUCAGCGUGGGCUCUGAAAACCUAUAGAGACGUCACCGGACGGUUCGUAGCGGACCACCCGGACUUCUUUGGGAGCAGAUUCAUUUUCGUAGUCCCCAGGACAAUGGAUGCAUCCGCACUGAAGGGAGUAGUGGAGGAGGCCGUCAAGCUGCGGAGAGAUUUCCCAGAUUUGAUGGCGGGCUUCGACUUGGUCGGUCGCGAGGAUGACGGAAAGCCGCUUUGGUAUUUCCGAGAUGCCCUGUCGCUGCCGGCGGAGAUGGGCGUGACGCUUCCCUACUUUUUCCAUGCUGGAGAGACAAAUCAGGAUGGCACAGAAGUGGACCAGAACAUUUUGGACGCCAUUUUGUUCAAUACGUCCCGCAUCGGCCACGGAUUUGCUCUGCUACGACACCCUUUGGCUCGAGAACUGUCCAGGAAGAGAGGCGUGGCUGUGGAAGUGUGCCCCAUAUCCAACCAGGUGUUGAAGCUGGUAGACGACCUGCGAAACCACCCGGCCGCGGCGCUGUUGUCCCAGAACCACCCGAUGGUCAUCGGUUGCGACGACCCGGCCAUGUUCGGUACCUCCGGCCUCUCCUACGACUUUUACGAGGCGUUCGUGGGCUUCGGCGGCAACGGGUCCCGCGUGGGCACGCUCAAGCAACUGGCCGUCAACUCCAUUUUGUACAGCUCGCUGAGUCCAGAAGUGCGGGAAAAAGCUCUGACCGUGUGGCAGGGGAAAUGGGAGAAGUUCGUCUCUGAAAAUGCUUACGAGAAACCGCUUUGUGCUUCCGGCAAUUUGUUUUGCUCUUAUCCCUCCCGGCGUGCGUUCUCGAAAGAGACGCUUUAAUUGCGCCGUCGAGCGGCCGUGUGGCGCCGUCGGGACGCAGCGAAAGGCGCCUUGUUGUUGUUGUUGUUGUUGAUUGAACGUGCACUCCGGAACGGCGGCGUGCGGGUUUGUUAACGGGCUCGACGCGGCAUGCUUUCUAUUUUGCCGUUCCCGUACAAAUGAGACGAGCCGUCUUUGAAACAUCGGAUGCGGAUGUUUUGUUCACACCGAACGGCGUUGAUGAUACCCGGUGAACUCCGGCCAGAGUUUCCAAACCGAGAACGUCGUUUUCCGAGAUUUGUUUGCGGUCCACGCGAAAUACAUUUUCAGGCUUCUACGGCUGGCUAAUAGUCUUGCAGUUUGACGUUCUAGCCACCACCCUUUGUUUUUAUGUAGAAGGAGAUUUUUAUUGAAGAGAGUUUUAAUUCAAAUUUCAAGUUGCAACAUUGAAUGUGACAAAGUUCACGUUUUAAUGGGAGUCAAUUUCCCAUUUUAACGUGCUACGAGUUCACGUUUCGGAUGCGUUCAAUCUAACCCUUUAACAUGAUACAGUUCCCGUUUGAAUGUGUGUUUUGCGUGCGGGAUAGGUUUGGCUUCGGCGUUCAUUUGUUCCGGUUCGGGUCGCUGGCGGAAUCCUUUGAAGGGACGUGUGUCUUCUGGGUGCUUCUUUACUUGAGUAUUCUAGAAGCGCAGCCAAGCGACCUUGAUGUACACGGAAGACACAAAACGAAGACACGCAUGCCUUCAUCGGGCUCCAGCGGUGACCUGAACUGGUAAGAAGAAUGACGAAAGUUUUUGUCUACACGAAGAAGAGCAGCGUCGUCGCAUCGGUUGUGACAUUUGCCCAAAACCGCCGAUAAAACGUAUCUGUAAUUCUUGGUAUUCACUUGUCUUUUAUUUUGGAACACGCGAUAGCAUCUUGUACGCAGCUUUGCGUCGUCCUUCAUGAGCGUUGUCCUCAGCGGCCGCUGGUGUUGAAUCGGGAGAAGAAGCGCUCAUCAACGUGUCGUCUUCCCUUCGUGGAAGAACGUGACUUAGGAAGCGGCCGUAAGAGAUCGGACAAUUCUGUUUGCGUUCGCGGGUUGUACCUUCGCUCCCGUGAUGCCGCCGGGCGUGCCCACGUGUCGUCGCAGCCGCUUCCCGAGCCCGGCCGGGUUCAGACGGAUGCUGUCGUGUCGCGUUUCUUCUCGCUUCUUCUCGAAUCGCGCUCGCUAGAAUGGGUGCUCGUUUUCCAGUCGAACGUGUUUUACACGCGUAGAAGGCGAACGUGAUCGACCUCGGUGAAGAUUCGUAGCUGUCGGCGUUUUCUCUUCAAUUUGACGCUCUCGGGAGGCGGCCGCCUGCCGCCGCCGGGACGAACGUCGGGGGCGUGCAGACCUCGCCGCUGGAUUGGAUGUCCUUCCGAUUCCGUUCCUGACGCCGCCUUUCUUCUGUCCUGGUCAUCUCACAGCACAAGCGUCCGAACUUCGCAAUUUCAACUCUUGUCUGCCACAAAUUCCUUGUCAACCUCCAUCGUUUUUAUUUAAUUUUUUAAAAAAAAAACAAGAAUCAAAUCAAACCGCCGAGAGGACGUGCGAGGCGAAGGCGAACCGAGCUUACUCCGACGGUCCUGAGCUCGACGUCCCGACGCCUCUGUUGCAGUUUUAUCAUCAUCAUCAUCAUCAUCCUCACGCACGAGUCGAAAAUGUUCACCGUGGCAAAGGUCGCGAUUCGUCGUUCCUCUUCGACCGCUCCGCGCCGAAGGACUCGUACGUGCACCGCAGAGGCCGGUGGAAGCCCUGCGCGGCGGGGAGGUACUUUUCGACGUGGAAGUCGUCAAAAUGGAUCUUGUCGAACACGGGGGACACCGCCGCCGUCCUGUCGGCUUUGAUUUGAGCCAGCAGAGGUUCUGCCCCGGGAAGGAUAUUCAAAACGGAUAAACCGACGCCUUCCUUCCUUCCUUCCUUCGGGACCCUUUCCAGUUCAAACACGGCACGCGUACCAGCCCUCGGUGACUUCAACACGAGCGUCCAAAAUGGCCACGACGUCCGCCGUCGCCUGUUCCCGACCUGAGUUCCGGGACUGCGACGGGCCCAUUUGACGGUGAUGCCAUACUUUCGUUAUUAGUCCGGGCUUGUCUUUGUGGAUUUCCUCAAUGUAGUCUUGCAGUGGUUUUCCGAGGUCACCUGAAACACAACUACCGAUGGUCCGAUAACAAAAUAUGCAAAUGUCUUUGUUUUUUCCUCGUACGGGGUUCAGAGAAUGGCCGGAUGGAUGGAUAUUCUGUCGUCCGGACUGCAGACCAUAAAUGAAACUCACUGUAAGCGCUGUAGUCGUCCACGAGAAUGAUUUCCUUGAGCAGGCGCUGUGGCGUGU